rnacentral:rRNA from 1 species
CCCUACGGGGUGCAGCAGGCGCGAAACCUUUACAAUGCACGUAAGUGUGAUAAGGGAACCCUGAGUGCUUUGUUUUGCAAGGCUUUUGCCAAGAGUAAACAUCUUGGCGAAUAAGUGGUGGGAAAGACUGGUGCCAGCAGCCGCGGUAACACCAGCGCCACGAGUGGCGAUCGCGAUUAUUGGGUCUAAAGCGUCCGUAGCCGGUUUGAUAAGUCUUUUGUGAAAUUGUUGUCCUAAAUACAACAGCGUGCAAAAGAUACUGUCAGACUUGGAACUGGGAGGAGUAAGGAGUAUUCCAAGGGGAGCGGUAAAAUGCUAUAAUCCUUGGAGGACUACCUGUGGCGAAAGCGCCUUACUAGAACAGCUUCGACGGUGAGGGACGAAAGCCAGGGGAGCAAACCGGAUUAGAUACCCGAGUAGUCCUGGCCAUAAACGCUGUGAGCAAGAUGUUGCACAUUCUUCGUGAAUGUGCAGUGUCGAAGAGAAGUCGUUAAGCUCACCACCUGGGAAGUAUGGUCGCAAGGCUGAAACUUAAAGGUUUGCGGGGGAGCAC